rnacentral:rRNA from 1 species
CCAGCACCUGCGGUAAUUCCAGCUCCAAUAGCGUAUAUUAAAGUUGUUGCAGUUAAAACGCUCGUAGUCUGAUGUAAUGGGGACUGGAGUGGGGAGCAGCGAUGCUCUUUGCUUUGGUCCUCAUCAACGGGACAGCAAUGUCCCAUUUUACUUUGAGGAAAUUAGAGUGUUCAAAGCAGGCGAUUGCUUGAAUACUGCAGCAUGGAAUAAUGGAAUAGGACUCGCGUCUUAUUUUGUUGGUUUGGAGAUGUGAGUAAUGAUGAAUAGGGACAGUUGGGGGUAUUCGUAUUCAAUUGUCAGAGGUGAAAUUCUUGGAUUUAUGGAAGACGAACUACUGCGAAAGCAUUUAC